rnacentral:rRNA from 2 species
UGGGGAAUAUUGGACAAUGGACCAAAAGUCUGAUCCAGCAAUUCUGUGUGCACGAUGACGGUCUUCGGAUUGUAAAGUGCUUUCAGUUGGGAAGAAAGAAAUGACGGUACCAACAGAAGAAGCGACGGCUAAAUACGUGCCAGCAGCCGCGGUAAUACGUAUGUCGCAAGCGUUAUCCGGAUUUAUUGGGCGUAAAGCGCGUCUAGGUGGUUUGAUAAGUCUGAUGUGAAAAUGCGGAGCUCAACUCCGUAUUGCGUUGGAAACUGUCAAACUAGAGUAUCGGAGAGGUGGGCGGAACUACAAGUGUAGAGGUGAAAUUCGUAGAUAUUUGUAGGAAUGCCGAUAGAGAAGUCAGCUCACUGGACGAAUACUGACACUGAAGCGCGAAAGCAUGGGGAGCAAACAGG